GGGAACAUUAGUUGCCUGGUUUGUCAGUAAUACUAACCUAGUGCAACCUAGAUAGUAAGUUUGGAAGGAGAGCAGAGCACAUAUGAGUGUGCAGUUAAGCAAAUCAGCAUCCUAACUUUUAAGUUUCUUAUUUGCACAUUGUCUGCAACAACAAUAUUUUACAUUUAUGGUAUUAAGUUUCCAAUUUGCAGCAACAAAUUCACCAUUACAAGAGCAUACACCAUCUUUGUAGUGGUGAAAGCGAGUCCUAUCCCUAACAAUAUUCUGUUUUUCAUGAGACUAAAUGAAAGUAUGGCAGUCCUCGCAAACCCUAAGAUUCUUCACUAUGCAGAUGCAGUACCCUUUUUCCUCAUUUAUCAACCCAUAAAAAAGAGCCAACUUCUCAAUGUGCCAUAAAACCAAUUCCUUUUUCACUUGUGCUAAUUAAAUCAGCCAAAACAAUAUUAAUAAUUGGAGAAUAACCAAACAACAUCAAGUUCUCAACCGCUUCAUGUAACUUCCCAUAGAUCUGGUCUGCUUGUUCAUAUCUUCUAUCUGCCAUUGAGAUCUUGUGCACUCCGUUGCUCAAGUCCACCAUCUUCGUCCCCUUUCUUUUAGUAAACUUCUUUGUUUCAUCAAGUUCCUUACUUCUCCAACAUCUUGCCACCUUUUUUCCCUGGGAUAAGUAUUUGAUAAUAAAGAAAGUGCUCCAUCAUGGUCUGGCUCCAACCAAAGCACCCAUUUGUCAGCAAAUUCUGCCAAUUCAAUCUCUCCAUGAGCCAGAUAAUCAGCCAUAAGAGAACCCCAUAUAAAAUGUUGGGUGGCAAAGGCAUUGUCUCCGCAAGAUUUAGCACUUCUCUUAGGAGAAUAGAACCAUCGAAUAGAUCUGCAAUGCAACCAUAUUGCUCAUGUUUAGGACUGAUACCGUGUUCAUUAAUUAUUGAUGCAGAAAUUCUCCUUCUCUCCUCUACUAGACUUGCAUGGCUACAGCCUACAAGCAUAAAGAACUCCUACAAAUGUCACUUCAUUAGGCUCAAUGUUUUUAUCUUUCAUUCGAUGAAAGAAGUUUAGUGCACUAUUGGCAUCCCCAUGGAUGGCAAAGGCAUUGAUCAUACUAGUACAAUAUAUCACAUUCCUUCUUAACACCUUCUAAAAACCUGCUUUGACAUUUUCCAAAUUCCACAUUUGGCAUACAUAUCAAUAGGGCAUUGUUGACUGACAGCUCCUCCAAAUUGGCAAAUCCGUUCUUGUCAACAAACAUAUGGAUCCGUUUAGCUUGAUCCAGCAUACCAAGAAGUGCACAAGCUGAGAUUACACUCAGUAUUGUAAUUUCAUCUGGUUCUAUUCUUAAGACUUGCAUUUCUUUAAAUAGAUUAAGAGCUUCUUGAGGCUAAUCACUCUCAGCAUAACCAGAGAUCAUUGCGCAGCUUGCGCUCCAACAGACCACGUCCUUUCAAUCCAUCUGGCUAAAAAUCAAGCAAGCAUCCUCAACACUUCUCUUGAAUAACCAGAAACCAAGGUGGUUGAAACAACCAAGUUUCUAGAUGACAUUUUAGUUAAUAAAUCUUUAACCACAAGUUGCGUACAUAGAGAUAAGUGCACAAUGAGGGUCAAGCGCAAUGUUAUUUUCAGUAAUGAAAUCAUGGACUUCUUUUCCAAAGCUUAAGUUUCCAGCUCGACCACAAGCCGAUAACAUGGUGGAGAGAAGCAUCUUGUCUGGCAUUACAUUAGAGCUCCUCGUCUCUUCAAAAAGCUGCAACGCAUCAUAAAAAGUCCACCUUUAUAGAACCCAUUAAUCGCAAUGUUCCAGGUAACAGCAUCCCGCUAAGACAUUUUAUCAAAUACUUAUCGCCCCUCCAAAAUCGUUCCACUUGCAGCAUAGAUUCCCAGGAAAUCCGUUUGCACAAACGGAUCUUUAUCGAACCCAACUUGUCGGCAACUCCAUGAAUCUCCAUCCCCUCAUUCAAUGCGGAGAUCUUCGCAGCUGCUUUUAGCAACGAAGGAAAGCUAAACCUACCCACACUGAAUAAUCCCUUCCUAGGCUAAAAGGACGGUUUCAGGUUUACCAUUACGAGAUAAAGACCUCAAGAAUUUCUUGCAGAGAGUAGGACAGGGAGUGGGGAGGUAGGUGAAGACGGAGAGGGCAUACUCGAGGCUGGAGAUAGAGGAAGUGGACGAGAGUUUGAGAAGGACGGAGUCGGAAAGAUUGGAGCGCAGUAUUUGGGCAUGGACUUGCUUGAGGUGGCAGGUGGAAGUGGAAGAACAGGAGAUAGAUGGGAGGAGAGCGGCGUGGAUGGAGGUGGAAUUGAAGGCAACAGGCAAAGUGGGAUUUACGCUGACAUGCUCUAUUUUGUGGGGGAAGGACGGAAGGUUUUAAUUUUUUUUUUUGGGUUUUUCUACCUUCUGUGAAUUUUAUAACUAUGUAUGAGGAGUGCGUGUGUGGCUUGAUGGACUGUUCCAUGAUCGGGCUCUCUCUGGUGUUUUUUUUUUUAACCCUAGAAGGGAUCCUUUUCUACUGAUGUGUUGAAGAAGAAAUGACGAAAAGGAAAUUUCUAUGAGAGCUCUCACAGUCAAUUGUGCAGUGUGUAAUGUGUUACUUUUUGAUUUGGUGAUUUCUUUUUCGGUUUUCGAUGUCGAAGAAGAUUCAAGAAGGGGGGGACACGCGGCACUUUUUUUUGGUGCCAGUGGAACUUGAAUAAGUAAUUUAAGAAUAAUGUCAUUUUCUUUAAGAAAUAAUUAAAAU
rnacentral:misc_RNA from 1 species